rnacentral:rRNA from 1 species
GACGAACGCUGGCGGCGUGCUUAACACAUGCAAGUCGAGCGGUAAGGCCCUUUCGGGGGUACACGAGCGGCGAACGGGUGAGUAACACGUGGGUGACCUGCCCUUAGCUCUGGGAUAAGCCUGGGAAACUGGGUCUAAUACCGGAUAUGACUCCAUGACGCAUGUUGUGGGGUGGAAAGCCUUGUGCGGCUAGGGAUGGGCCCGCGGCCUAUCAGCUUGUUGGUGGGGUGAUGGCCUACCAAGGCGACGACGGGUAGCCGGCCUGAGAGGGCGACCGGCCACACUGGGACUGAGACACGGCCCAGACUCCUACGGGAGGCAGCAGUGGGGAAUCUUGCGCAAUGGGCGAAAGCCUGACGCAGCGACGCCGCGUGCGGGAGGACGGCCUCGGUCGUAACGAC